GACGAACGCUGGCGGCGUGCUUAACACAUGCAAGUCGAACGGAAAGGCCCUGCUUUUGUGGGGUGCUCGAGUGGCGAACGGGUGAGUAACACGUGAGUAACCUGCCCUUGACUUUGGGAUAACUUCAGGAAACUGGGGCUAAUACCGGAUAGGAGCUCCUGCUGCAUGGUGGGGGUUGGAAAGUUUCGGCGGUUGGGGAUGGACUCGCGGCUUAUCAGCUUGUUGGUGGGGUAGUGGCUUACCAAGGCUUUGACGGGUAGCCGGCCUGAGAGGGUGACCGGCCACAUUGGGACUGAGGUACGGCCCAGACUCCUACGGGAGGCAGCAGUCGGGAAUAUUGCACAAUGGGCGGAAGCCUGAUGCAGCAACGCCGCGUGCGGGAUGACGGCCUUCGGGUUGUAAACCGCUUUCGCCUGUGACGAAGCGUGAGUGACGGUAAUGGGUAAAGAAGCACCGGCUAACUACGUG
rnacentral:rRNA from 1 species